rnacentral:rRNA from 1 species
GACGAACGCUGGCGGCGUGCUUAACACAUGCAAGUCGAACGGAAAGGCCCUGCUUGCAGGGUGCUCGAGUGGCGAACGGGUGAGUAACACGUGGGUGAUCUGCCCCUUACUUUGGGAUAAGCCUGGGAAACUGGGUCUAAUACUGGAUAGGACCAUGCUGUAGGUGGUGUGGUGGAAAAAUUAGUUUCGGUAAGGGAUGAGCUCGCGGCCUAUCAGCUUGUUGGUGGGGUAAUGGCCUACCAAGGCGUCGACGGGUAGCCGGCCUGAGAGGGUGGACGGCCACAUUGGGACUGAGAUACGGCCCAGACUCCUACGGGAGGCAGCAGUGGGGAAUAUUGCACAAUGGGCGCAAGCCUGAUGCAGCGACGCCGCGUGGGGGAUGACGGCCUUCGGGUUGUAAACUCCUUUCAGCCAUGACGAAGCCCUUGUGGUGACGGUAGUGGUAGAAGAAGCACCGGCUAACUACGUG